rnacentral:rRNA from 1 species
CCCCUAGAUGUUCUGGGCCGCACGCGCGCUACACUGACCAGUGCAACAAGCAUCCGUCCUUGGCCGACAGGCUCGGGCAAUCUUUGAACGCUGGUCGUGAUGGGGAUAGACUUUUGCAAUUUUUGGUCUUCAACGAGGAAUUCCUAGUAAACGCAAGUCAUCAACUUGCAUUGAUUACGUCCCUGCCCUUUGUACACACCGCCCGUCGCACCUACCGAUUGAAUGGUCCGGUGAAGCCUCCGGAUUGGCGCGCACCUCGGUGCCGCCGAGAAGUUGGCUAAACCUUACCAUUUAGAGGAAGGUGAAGUCGUANCA